rnacentral:rRNA from 1 species
UGGGGGAUAUUGCACAAUGGGCGAAAGCCUGAUGCAGCGACGCCGCGUGGGGGAUGAAGGCCUUCGGGUUGUAAACUUCUUUUGCUCUGAACAAGGCAUGCCUUUGGGGUGUGUUGAGUGUAGGGGUUGAUUAGCGCCGGCUAAUUACGUGCCAGCAGCCGCGGUAAUACGUAGGGCGCGAGCGUUGUCCGGAAUUAUUGGGCGUAAAGGGCUUGUAGGUGGCUGGUUGCGUCUGUCGUGAAAGCUCAUGGCUUAACUGUGGGUUUGCGGUGGGUACGGGCUGGCUUGAGUGCAGUAGGAGAGGCUGGAAUUCCUGGUGUAGCGGUGGAAUGCGCAGAUAUCAGGAGGAAUACCGGUGGCGAAGGCGGGUCUCUGGGCUGUUACUGACGCUGAGGAGCGAAAGCGUGGGGAGCGAACAGG